ACUCCAGCCUGAGCAACAGAGUAAAACCCUGUCUCUAAAAAUAAAUAGAUAGAUAGAGGACACUACAGUACCGUGUGAUGGGUUUAUCCUAGAGAAAUAAACAAAACACUGAAAAAGCACAAAAAGACUCUCCCUGGAGGAUUCCUGAAAGGCUUCCCAGUGAAGGGAGCAUUUGAGCCAGGUCUCAGAGGAUGAAUAGGAGUUCAUCAAAGAGAAAAGUGGAGAAGAGCAUUCCAAAAAGAAUAACAUGUGCCAAGACAAAGAAGUAGGAAGUGAUGGGAAGGAGACGGGGCUGAAAAGGAAGACUAGCACCAGAUGGCUGCCAUAAGGAGCUAUCUUACAGAGGUAGGGACCCAAGGGGGGUUUGAAGUCCUCUCCAACUGCACUAACACCCAACUCCAGCCCACAGGAUGUGUCUGCACCACUACAGGAAUUUUCUAGUGCUCAGCAGCCCCAGCCACCCCACCUACAGAUGGUAUCCCCCCUGAACACCCUAGGAAGCCAGAAGCCACUAACAGAUGGGGAAUGAAUCAGAAAGGAAGCAGAGAGAGAAAAGGAAGAAGUUCUGCCAGUUGGUGCAAAAAAAAAAAAAAAAAGUCUGGGAUGAAUCUAGAUACAGUCAGCUAACUUUCCUGAAGAAGUGGUAGACAAUUUUCCAGCCGACGUAUCCACUGGCUUUUAUUAUGGUUGGGCCAGUGCUGGAAGAGGAGAUGUCCACAAGAUGGUGGUGAGCAUAGGAUGGAACCAGUACUACAAGAACACAAAAAAGUCCAUGGCAAGGUCCCCCUUGACCCCCGAGAGUAACAGAAGGUCCCGCAGGCCGGGACAAGUGGUGCCCAACGUGGGGCCCAAGGUACGGACCUUUGUCAGGUGACGCCGCGGUGUGCUCUUCCGCCGAAGGAAACCCUACAGAGACCCUCAUUCUGCCGCUCACAGAGUUGACGGUCUGGUGAGUAAAUU